UUCCAGCUCCAAUAGCGUAUAUUUUAGUUGUUACAGUUAAAAAGCUCGUAGUUGAAUUUCUGGUGGGAAGAUGCGGACGGCCUCAUGGCUUGUUCCAAGUCUUCCGGCCAUCCUUGGGUGGAGCUCGUCUGGCAUUAAGUUGUCGGGCGGGGGAUGCCCAUCGUUUACUGUGAAAAAAUUAAAGUGUUCAAAGCAGACUUAUGUCGUUGAAUAUAUUAGCAUGGAAUAAUAAGAUAGGACAGCAGUGCUAUUUUGUUGGUUUGCGCACCGUUGUAAUGAUGAAUAGGGACAGUUGUGGGUAUUUAUAUUCACUUGUAAGAGGUGAAAUUCUUAGAUUAAGGGAAGAUAAACUACUGCGAAAGCAUUUACCAAGGAUGUUUUCAUCG
rnacentral:rRNA from 1 species